GGCUUUUCCAGAGAGGAAGCAGGGGAAGGUGCCAGGAAGAGAUAAGGAGCCCCAGUGAGGACUGAGCCCUGGAACUGCCUUCAUUAUUUAGGACUGGGAGCCCCAGCAGGACAGGACUGGAACCAUCGUGGUCACUGUUGUGUCUCCUGCACCACCCAACACCAGGCCAGGCAUAGAGGAGAUUUUGUUCAAUGCAACUGUUUGUUCAAUGUCAUUCAUUCAAUAAAUAUUUACAGAGCACCAAUUCUGUUCCGGGCACUGGGGAUAAAUCAGUGAAGGAAUUCAAAGAGCCCUGAUUGGC
rnacentral:lncRNA from 1 species